rnacentral:rRNA from 1 species
AAUGAACGUUGGCGGCGUGGAUUAGGCAUGCAAGUCGAGCGAGAACCCAGCAAUGGGGGACAGCGGCGAAAGGGACAGUAAUGUGUAGAUCAUCUGCCCCCAGGUCCGGGAUAGCUGCGGGCAACUGCAGGUAAUACCGGAUAACAUCUCCGGAGCGAAGUCGUGAGUCCGCCUGAGGAUGAGUCUACAUCCUAUUAGCUUGUUGGUGGGGUAAUGGCCUACCAAGGCGAUGAUGGGUAGCGGGUGUGCGAGCACGACCCGCGUCAUUGGGACUGAGACACUGCCCAGACACCUACGGGUGGCUGCAGUCGAGAAUCUUCGGCAAUGGGCGCAAGCCUGACCGAGCGACGCCGCGUGCGGGAUGAAGGCCUUCGGGUUGUAAACCGCUGUCAGAGGGGAUGAAAUGCAGGUGGGUUCUCCCAUCUGUUUGACAUAGCCUCAGAGGAAGGACGGGCUAAGUUCGUGCCAGCAGCCGCAGUAAAAC